CUUGGUUAAUACAACAUCCAUGGUGAAUUCUGACAGAACCACGUGUAUUGUGUAUUGUAUCGCAAUUAUUUAUAUUAUAUUGUAAAUAUUAUACUUUUAAUUUGCCCAGUACGUGUUUGAGAUAAUUUGUACACAAUAUUUCGUGACAUAUAUACACACAUACAUUUGGAAAUUUUGCUCAGGAAAAAAUUCCAUAUGAAGUAAGCGUUUAAAUGAUUUGCCAAUCCAUGGAUUUUUUAAAAUGAGUGUAAAAUUUUUUCUUUGACUGCGUCCUACUCUUGGAUAAGGUUCGCCAAACGUUUUCGAAACAUGAAACGUUCUUCGAAUAUUAUUUUAACAGACAUGCACGUUCUAGAUACGAUUUAGGAACAUUAUUAUAGAACAUUUAGAAGGAUUAAAAUUUGGAAUGAAAUUUUAAAAUUCAAAAGAACUAAAAUUAGGCUUCGGAAUUUUUAGUUGAGAAGUUUAGAUUUGGUUAAAGAAUGGAAUGCUUUGGUGAGUUACAUUAAAAUUUAAAUUCAGAUAGAAACUGAUUGGCUCAGAAACAAAUAACUAAAUAGGGCAGUCCUUUGAUAAUUGGUAUAUUUUGCAAUUACCUAAUAUUUUAUAAAG